rnacentral:lncRNA from 1 species
AGAUUCUUGCUGAUCAUGACCGAAUGUAUCUGAAAGAAAGUGGGGUCAUGGAUGCUGGUCAAGUUCUAAACCGGGGCCACCAUGGGGACGCCCAAAUGCACAAAACUAAUUUCAUAUGUGGCAUCUUUAACAUAAUUUCACUUUAUUUUUGAGAAGAAAUUUCACCAAAAUUUUAACAGUGAUGCUUAGUGGUGGUUGUGGAUACUUUUGGUAUAUUAUGUACUUUAAUGGAUUAUAAUGAGCAUUUAUGGAUUAUGUCUGGACAUAUGUAAGGCUAUAUAUAGGC